rnacentral:rRNA from 2 species
UCCGGUGGUUAUAGCGGAGGGGGUACACCCGUUCCCAUCCCGAACACGGCAGUUAAGCCCUCCAGCGCCGAUGGUACUGGGUUUUCCCGGGAGAGUAGGUCGCCGCCGGAA